rnacentral:rRNA from 1 species
UACGUAGGGUGCGAGCGUUGUCCGGAAUUAUUGGGCGUAAAGAGCUUGUAGGCGGUUUGUCGCGUCUGCUGUGAAAUUUCAAGGCUCAACCUUGAGCUUGCAGUGGGUACGGGCAGACUAGAGUGUGGUAGGGGAGACUGGAAUUCCUGGUGUAGCGGUGAAAUGCGCAGAUAUCAGGAGGAACACCGGUGGGCGAAGGCGGGGUCUCGUGGGCAGUAACUGACGCUGGAGGGCGCGACAGCGUGGGGAGCAAACAGG